rnacentral:rRNA from 1 species
AUUGAACGCUGGCGGCAGGCCUAACACAUGCAAGUCGAGCGAGCGGAGGACGGGUGAGUAAUGUCUGGGAAACUGCCUGAUGGAGGGGGAUAACUACUGGAAACGGUAGCUAAUAACGAAUAACAUCCGCUGUGCCGAGAUGGGAUUAGCUGGUGGGUGGGGUAAUGGCGCACCUAGGCGAGGAUCCCUAGCUGGUCUGAGAGGAUGACCAGCCACACUGGAACGGAGACACGGUCCAGACUCCGACGGGAGGCAGCAGUGGGGAAUAUUGCACAAUGGGCGAAAGCCUGAUGCAGCCAUGCCGCGUGUGGGAAGAAGGCUUUCGGUUUGUAAAGCACUUUCAGUGGGGAGGCGUUACCCGCAGAAGAAGCACCGGCUAACUCCGUGCCAGCAGCCGCGGUAAUAC